GAACUGGAUGACCUGGAAUGAGAUCCACUUUGUUUCCAAUGCAUAAUAAUAUCUCAAACUUCUGCAUAUCAGUUCGAGAUACCCAAUCCUGAAGUGCAACGNNNNNNNNNCUCAUGUCAAAGACCAUCACUAAGGCAGCCAGGCGGCUAUAAAUUGGGAGGGUCCUGACGGAGAAUUCGUCAUGAAGAUGAACCAUCCAUACAGAAACAUCAGCUGUGUAGUACUUUGUAUUGAUAGUCCACCCAUGGGCAAGUACUUCAGACGAUGAAUCAGAAGCAUCUUCAAAAUCCACUGAUAGUAAUCGGGACAGAAGAGUGCGUUUGCCCACGUUGGAGGAUCCGAUCAUGAAGAUGCC
rnacentral:misc_RNA from 1 species